GACGUAGAGCGCGAGCGUUUGUCCGGAUUUAUUGGGCGUAAAGAGCUCGUAGGCGGCUUGUCGCGUCGGCUGUGAAAUCCCGUGGCUCAACUGCAGGUCUGCAGCCGAUACGGGCAGGCUAGAGUUCGGUAGGGGGAGACUGGAAUUCCUGGUGUAGCGGUGAAAUGCGCAGAUAUCAGGAGGAACACCGGUGGCGAAGGCGGGUCUCUGGGCCGACAUUUGACGCUGAGGAGCGAAAGCGUGGGGGAGCGAACAGG
rnacentral:rRNA from 1 species